rnacentral:rRNA from 1 species
AGUGAACGCUGGCGGUAGGCCUAACACAUGCAAGUCGAACGGCAGCACAGUAAGAGCUUGCUCUUACGGGUGGCGAGUGGCGGAUGGGUGAGGAAUACAUCGGAAUCUUCUUUUUCGUGGGGGAUAACGUAGGGAAACUUACGCUAAUACCGCAUACGACCUACGGGUGAAAGCAGGGGAUCUUCGCACCUUUCGCGACUGAUUUAGCCGAUGUCGGAUUAGCUAGUUGGGGGGGUAAAGGCCCACCAAGGCGACGAUCCGUAGCUGGUCUGAGAGGGUGAUCAGCCACACUGGAACUGAGACACGGUCCAGACUCCUACGGGAGGCAGCAGUAGGGAAUAUUGGACAAUGGGCGAAAGCCUGAUCCAGCCAUACCGCGUGGGUGAAGAAGGCCUUCGGGUUGUAAAGCCCUUUUGUUAGGAAAGAAAAGCAGCAGGUUAAUACCCCGCUGUUCUGACGGUACCCAAAGAGUAAGCACCGGCUAACUUCGUG